UACGGAGGGGGCAAGCGUUGUCCGGACUUACUGGGCGUAAAGGGUGCGUAGGCGGUUUGUUGCGUCGGCUGUGAAAUCCCGAGGCUCAACCUCGGGUCUGCAGUCGAUACGAGCAAACUAGAGUGUUGCAGGGGAGACUGGAAUUCCUGGUGUAGCGGUGAAAUGCGCAGAUAUCAGGAGGAACACCGGUGGCGAAGGCGGGUCUCUGGGCAACAACUGACGCUGAGGAGCGAAAGCGUGGGGAGCGAACAGG
rnacentral:rRNA from 1 species